rnacentral:lncRNA from 1 species
CUCUUCUCACUUUGUUUUCUUUUGGAACAGAAUAUUUGCUUUUAAUAUUCCUCCUUCAUCCUUCAAACAAAUUUGAGAAUUGCUGUUCCCACAUUACAUAAGGCUGUGAUACACGAGUAAAUGACGUUUUUGCCCCUUCGGUAGUUAGCUGUCGAGGAAAAUGUUAUAAGAACAUAACAGACAUAGGAGUUUCCAAAACUCUAUUGUUGCGUUUUUGAUUUUCCUUGCUGCGAUUUUGAGCAAUUUGAAGCUAUUCCAAGCGAAUUUCAAUCACAAAAACAAGUAAGUUUUCUGAAUCCUAUUGCAUUGUUGUUUUGUGGUCGAAUUGUUUGUUUUUUUUUUGUUUGUUAAAUUUCGAUUAUAUAGGUUCGAUUAUAUUGAUUUUAUGAUAUGUUAGGAUUGUUUAGGUUAGAAUUGUUAGAGAACUUUUAUUGAAUUGUUAGGUUUAGGUUUUGAUGAAUCGUUGUAGAAUUGUUAGAAUUGUUUAGGUUUAGGUGAUGAGAAGAACAAAUAAAAAUCGCCUAUGACAUGACACGAAAUUGUUUGCGAUGGUUUGGAAAAAAAGAAGGGUUCGAAGGUGCUGGUGUACAAUCACUCGAGGUUGAGGAGGAGCGGGAGGACAUGCUAUUUUGGUCCUCAACCAAAACAAGGUGCCGCAGGGACUAUAGCGGGAAACCUGAUUGACUUGUGUGACGAGGAUGAAUGAAUGAAUGCCUAAUUGUUUUCGAUUUUUUUAUGUUUUAUUUUUGUGUUCCGCACAUUUUGUUUGACAUUAUGGUACUUAGAAUAAAAUCGCAUUUGGAAUAAUUUCG